rnacentral:rRNA from 1 species
UACGAAGGGGGGCUAGCGUUGCUCGGAAUCACUGGGCGUAAAGCGCACGUAGGCGGCUUUCUAAGUCAGGGGUGAAAUCCUGGAGCUCAACUCCAGAACUGCCUUUGAUACUGGAGAGCUUGAGUUCGAGAGAGGUGAGUGGAACUGCGAGUGUAGAGGUGAAAUUCGUAGAUAUUCGCAAGAACACCAGUGGCGAAGGCGGCUCACUGGCUCGAUACUGACGCUGAGGUGCGAAAGCGUGGGGAGCAAACAGG